UAGGAUUCAGAGUUGCAUCAUAGCAACAGGUGUUUAGAAUUGGGAUUAAAGAAGUCAUAACAUCUGUAGUUUCCUCGAGAAAAUAUGAAAGAACACAUGCGUCAUUUGCUGCUGGAACUUUUAAACUUACUCAAAUUUAGUGCAGUGGGAGGAGUACUUCCUUAAGCUGAUAGCUAAUGAAGGUCGCUCGUAACCGGCAGUCUACUAAGUAGCUGGAAGGGAAAACCAGAGAAGACAGACUGCUUUAAAAUGUGCCCGCAUCACAUCACUGAACAGAUGACUGAGAUCCUGUUGUGUCUAUCACCUGUUGAAGUUGCCAGUCUCAAGGAAGGAAUCAAUUUUCUUCGAAAUAAGAGCACUGGCAAAGACUACAUCUUAUACAAGAAUAAAAGCCACCUGAGAGCAUGCAAGAAUAUGUGCAAGCACCAAGGAGGCCUGUUCAUAAAAGAUAUCGAAGACUUAGAAGGAAGGUCUGUUCGAUGCACAAAGCACAACUGGAAGUUGGAUGUGAGCACCAUGAAGUAUAUCAAUCCUCCAGGAAGCUUCUGUCAAGAUGAGCUGGUUGUUGAAAUGGAUGAAGAAUAUGGACUUUCACUAUUAGAACUGAAUCCUCCUAACCCCUGGGAUUCAGAACCAAGACCCACUGAAGAGCUGGCCUUUGGAGAAGUGCAGAUCACAUACCUCACUCAUGCCUGCAUGGACCUCAAAUUGGGAGACAAGAGGAUAGUGUUUGACCCUUGGUUAAUUGGUCCUGCCUUUGCCCGAGGAUGGUGGUUGCUUCAUGAGCCUCCAUCUGAUUGGCUGGAGAGACUGUGCCAAGCAGACCUAAUUUACAUCAGUCAUAUGCAUUCAGACCACCUGAGUUACCCUACACUGACGAAGCUUGCUGAGAGAAGACCAGAUAUUCCCAUUUAUGUGGGAAACACAGAAAGACCUGUGUUUUGGAAUCUGAGUCACAGUGGUGUCCAGUUGACUAAUAUCAAUGUAGUGCCCUUUGGAAUAUGGAAGCAGGUGGACAAGAAUCUUCGAUUCAUGAUCUUGAUGGAUGGUGUUCAUCCUGAAAUGGACACUUGCAUUAUUGUGGAAUACAAAGGUCAUAAAAUACUCAAUACCGUGGACUGCACCAGGCCCAAUGGGGGAAGGCUGCCUGGGAAGGUUGCUCUAAUGAUGAGUGAUUUCGCUGGAGGAGCAUCAGGCUUUCCAAUGACUUUCAGUGGUGGAAAGUUUACUGAGGAAUGGAAAGCCCAAUUCAUUAAAACAGAAAGGAAGAAGCUCUUGAACUACAAGGCUCGGCUGGUGAAGGACCUACAACCCCAAAUUUAUUGUCCCUUUGCUGGAUAUUUUGUGGAAUCCCACCCAUCAGACAAGUAUAUUAAGGAAACAAACAUCAAAAAUGACCCAAAUGAACUCAACAAUCUUAUCAAGAAAAUCUCUGAUGUGGUAACCUGGACCCCACAACCUGGAUCUACCCUUGAUCUGGGUAGGAUGCUAAAGGACCCAACAGACAGCAAGGGCAUUGUAGCACCCCCAGCAGGGACUAAAAUUUACAAGGAUUGCUGGGACUUUGAACCAUACUUACAAACCCUGAAUGCUGCUGUAGAAGAUGAAAUAUUUCUUCACUCAUCCUGGAUAAGAGAAUACUUCACUUGGGCUGGAUUUAAGGAUUAUAAUCUUGUGGUCAGGAUGAUUGAGACAGAUGAAGACUUCAACCCUUUUCCUGGAGGGUACGACUAUUUGGUUGACUUUCUAGAUUUAUCCUUUCCAAAACAAAGACCAAGCCGGGAACAUCCCUAUGAGGAAAUCCGGAGCCGGGUUGAUGUCAUCAGACAUGUGGUGAAGAACGGUCUACUCUGGGAUGACUUAUAUAUAGGCUUCCAAACCCGACUCCAGCGGGAUCCUGACAUAUACCAUCAUCUGUUCUGGAACCAUUUUCAAAUAAAACUCCCCCUAACGCCUCCCGACUGGAAGUCCUUCCUGGUGCACCGCAAGUAGAGCAGACCUGCAAUCUCACAGGUCGGGCAUCCCCUGGGUCUGGGAUAUGCCCUUACCUUUACCAUGCAUCCUCUAACACCCUCUUGGCAUCUAAAGCAGGCAGGCACCAUGCCUGUCAGAAAACCUGACUUUCUGGGGAAUGAGAGGAACUAGCAUUACAAGAACAUUCAAGUUUAAAAAUAAGUAAAUAAGAUGAGUGGGAUGCCAAACAACAUGAAAAUUUCAAGAAUUUACUGAUAUUACAUCUUGAACACAAGAAGCUUAAAUCAAAAGAGACUAUGCUUUAUUAACAUCAGCAACAGCUCUUAUGCUGCAUUUGUGAGAUUUUCACACAUCUCACAUUUGUGGUUCACUACAUACCCAGAUUCAUCAAUAUUUUACUUUUUCUAUCCACAAUUCUCUGUAAAAAGAACCAGUGAACCCAAAAGGAAGAAAUGCUCUGUGGAAAACAAAGCAUAACAGGAAGAGAUGUGAAUCUAAGCAUAGAUGAAACAAAGCAGGAGGAGGGAAAACUUCCAAGAAGAAAUUAGGAAAAAGGAAAGAGGGGGCAGAAGUUGGGUUAGAAGGAUAAAAGAGGGAUCAAAAGAAGAAAAUGCAAAAUAAGAUGGCAUUUGAAAAGAAAGAGAAAUUAUAAAAAAACACCUUUUGUCUCUUAAAAAAUAAGUCCCCAAAUGGGGUCCAUGAAGAUAGUUGAGAAGGAAGGGUUCAUGAGCUAUUUUCAAUUUUUCAAAAAGCUUUCUUGAAAUCAUAUAUUUACUAAAACAAGGCUGCCGAGGCUGCCUCAAAUGUCAAAUUUUAUUCAUACUGAAACUAUAUUAAUUCAGUGACAAAUUUGUUAUUUAAUGCUGCUUAUAAGUUCUAACAAUUAGGUAGCUCUUUGAUUAAUAAGAUAUGUGAACACUAAUUAUUAAUAAAGUGGGUUUGUUAUACAAAAACUUUAAAAUCAUAGAAGAAACAACAGUAAAGAUCUGUAUCUUGAAAAAAUUAGGAACCCCUCUUCUGAACAUUUAAGAACAUUGUUGAAUGGUUAAAAUAAGCAAAUAAUUUACCCAUUUCUGCUAAUGUCUGUAAUUUUUUAUGACAUAUGAUUGUAUAAGACAUGCAAAAGUUACUCCUAGGAAAACAUGAUUGUUAACUAGGUUUCUGUAUUACAUGUUGAUGUUUCCAAUACGUGUACACACUCCACUGAUCUGAACAUCAAAAUUUACUUUGUAAUUAUAUACACUACCUCUUUAAUUCUUAAUAAAAGACACAAGAAUGCGAUGGUGGAAUCUAUCUCCUUAAACUGUGAAUUCACAAUUUGUAAUAAAAAUGUUGAUUACCUAUUUCUCAUUAAGAUGUACACCAAUGAUGUACCAUUAUUCUGUUUCAUGUCUCACAAUAUGUAUAAGAGAAAUACUUGAAAUUCAGGAAUUAUAUUUUGUGAUUUAUCUUAAAUAAUAAAUUAUUCAACUAUUAUUGGAAAAUAAAUGUAAUGUAAAUCAAUAGAAUGUAUGUAAAAAUGCAUAUA